ensembl:lncRNA
GCUCUCUGCUGGGCCUUAGGUACUUCUUGGAUGGUUCCUGACCCACCAGGGCGCACACCUUUGCCCAGUCAUCCGGAAAACACAGCCACCGGUCCAGUUCCACAGCCAGCUGGGCAGCAACAGGGAUGACCUUGGCCUUUAAUGCAUCCAGCGUGGAGCCAGCAGCAGGAGACACCUGUUCGCCUGGGUCCUUGAAGCCCCUCUUGCUGGUCUCAGGAUGAAAGGCACUCUCUCCUACUCUCAAGCCCACAGAUGUGGAAUAAAGAGUGUGAGUUCCCUCUUUAUUUGUUGGCUGGACAAAUACGCAGUCGAAACAGCAGACCUUCAGUAUCAGACAGAAUGGGCUUCUGGUAAAGAAUCUGCCUGCAAUGCAGGAGACACGGGUUCGAUCCCUGAGUUGGGAAGAUCCCCUGGAGGCAUGGCAACCCACUCCAGUAUUCUUGCCAAGAAAAUCCCACGACAGAGGAGCCUGGUGGACUACAGUCCACGGGGUCACAAAGAAUCAGAUACGACUGAAUGACUGAGCACGCACCAGCGUCAGAAUGGAGGCAGGAAGUCCCAUCUUAACUGCCCCCCUGAGGACCGGAGAGAGAGCUGCCAAGCCCUUCCAGCCAACGGUCCACACUCGCUGCCCCUGGCCUCACCACCUGCUCAUUCAGUCCUGCCCCUGCGAUGACCUUCAGUCGCCAGCUGCACAGGCCAUUGCUGCUGCAUCCGUCCUGGUCGGGCACAGCUCCUCCCAGCCGGUCGCAGUCCUCCUGGCCCUGCGGUCUUCGGGUCUCCCAAUGGGUGUCUGUAGGCCUGAGGGUCCCCUUUCUCUGGGGGAGACAGGGGCCGUCAGAGCCGGGUGGCAAGGUGGGCUGAGCCUUCACAGAGUCGGCUGGGACAGAUCCCCUGGAUACCCGGGGCUGGUGCUGAGCCUGGAGAGACCCGUGCGGGGGCGCUGGGCUCAGCGAGGACACAGACCCUCCCUCAGGCGGCGGCGAGGCAGAGCCGGCCUGUCGGCCUUGUCCCUGGGCAGCACCGGGGCAGCCGGUGCUCCGGGAGCGGACCGCGGGGGAGGCGCCUCCUGCCCGAGCCCCUCCCGGGCCGGGAUCACACGUCCUCCCUGCUUAUCAACGAGCCUCCGACCAAAGCUCACCGCCCGCAAUGGCCCGCAGGGCGCUGGGCCGCCUUUGAUGAGCAGCCCCCACCGCCCAGUCAACAAACGCUGCAGACUUUGCACCGAGAGUGUUUACUCCCGGCAAGGACGUGGUGUACCCUCCGCGGGCUGCCCGCUGCUUUCUCUGGGGUGGGGGUGGGGUGAGGGGGGUGACGAGGGGGCUACCGGUGAGUCUUCCCCAGUCCAGGGUCUGGUUCUCCAGGAGCACCUGCCUGCUCAAGAAAUCCUCCUACCUGAAGAGGGAUUAUGCCCAUUCUAUAGAUGCGAAAACUGA